rnacentral:rRNA from 1 species
CAGUCGCCACGGUAAUACGAAGGGUGCAAGCGUUAAUCGGAAUUACUGGGCGUAAAGCGUGCGUAGGUGGUGGUUUAAGUCCGUUGUGAAAGCCCUGGGCUCAACCUGGGAAUUGCAGUGGAUACUGGGUCACUAGAGUGUGGUAGAGGAUAGUGGAAUUUCCGGUGUAGCAGUGAAAUGCGUAGAGAUCGGAAGGAACAUCUGUGGCGAAGGCGACUAUCUGGGCCAACACUGACACUGAGGCACGAAAGCGUGGGGAGCAAACAGGAUUAGAUACCCCCGUAGUCCCUGUCUCUUAUAU